rnacentral:rRNA from 1 species
GCCAGACUCCUACGGGAGGCAGCAGUGGGGAAUAUUGCACAAUGGGGGAAACCCUGAUGCAGCGACGCCGCGUGAGCGAUGAAGUAUUUCGGUAUGUAAAGCUCUCUCAGCAGGGAAGAAAAUGACGGUACCUGACUAAGAAGCCCCGGCUAACUACGUGCCAGCAGCCGCGGUAAUACGUAGGGGGCAAGCGUUAUCCGGAUUUACUGGGCGUAAAGGGAGCGUAGACGGCUGUGCAAGCCAGAUGUGAAAGCCCGGGGCUCAACCCCGGGACUGCAUUUGGAACUGCGUGGCUUGAGUGUCGGAGAGGCAGGCGGAAUUCCUAGUGUAGCGGUGAAAUGCGUAGAUAUUAGGAGGAACACCAGUGGCGAAGGCGGUCUGCUGGACAGCAACUGACGGUGAGGCGCGAAAGCGUGGGGAGCAAACAGGAUUAGAUACCCCGGUACCG